AGUGAACGCUGGCGGUAGGCCUAACACAUGCAAGUCGAACGGCAGCACAGUAAUAGCUUGCUCUUACGGGUGGCGAGUGGCGGACGGGUGAGGAAUACAUCGGAAUCUACUUUUUCGUGGGGGAUAACGUAGGGAAUCUUACGCUAAUACCGCAUACGACCUACGGGUGAAAGCAGGGGAUCUUCGGACCUUUCGCGAUUGAAUGAGCCGAUGUCGGAUUAGGUAGUUGGCGGGGUAAAGGCCCACCAAGGCGACGAUCCGUAGCUGGUCUGAGAGGAUGAUCAGCCACACUGGAACUGAGACACGGUCCAGACUCCGACGGGAGGCAGCAGUGGGGAAUAUUGGAAAAUGGGCGCAAGACUGAUCCAGCGAUACCGCGUGGGUGACGAAGGCGUUCGGGUUGUAAAGCCCUUUUGUUAGGAAAGAAAAGCAGCAGGUUAAUCCCCCGCUGUUCUGACGGUACCCAAAGAAUAAGCACCGGCUAACUUCGUG
rnacentral:rRNA from 1 species